UCUCCUGGCCUUUUUUUUUUUUUUUUUUUUUUUUUUCAGAGGAGAAGAUGAAAGGAACCUGAAAAAAUUAAAAUCAAGAUAAGGUCCCUCCCUGGCAGGAUUAUGAGGAUGUGGUCAUUUAAGAGGGCCUUUCCCUCUUUUGGGCUCUUGACAUCUGAAGUCAUGGAAGAUGCUAUCACAGCUCCUUUUAUGAAGGUGGCUCGGGUCCCCGAUUGCCAAGAGCCAGGCACAUUGAAGUUCUAUGACAGGAAAAUGGCACCAGAAGGAGAGAAAGGGAGCUGAGGUUUUGGCACCCCGAAGUUCUGGCCGCAGCCCAAGUUCCUGCAGGGAGAAACCGAGGGCUAAUUGAGGCAGUGACUUGGCCAAGAUCACCCAGCAAGAACUUGAGCCCGAAGCUCUAGACUUGCUGAGGGCAAUGUGCUUUCUGCGUCAGGUACUGGGACUAGGGAGGGAGUGGGGAGGGAUAUUCCAGGCUAAAGCCUGAACAAGAAGAAAAGGUUGCUUAUUUUUAACUCUCUGCAGAGGGCAAGGGGUUAGCCAUUUUUUCCAGUAUGACUUAACCCCUCGAGAGAGGGCCCUUCAAGGCUGUGUGGUAAAUGGAGCAGAACAUAUAUAAUGAGCUCAGGGGAAUGACCUUUCUGCUCUUGGACACAGUUGAGAUGAUUGUGGGUGGGGUGUUGCAGCUAGGUUAGCCAAAGUGCCCUGGGUGUCCUUUCUUCUCCAACCUCAAGGGGAAAUCACAUUUAACUCUUUUUUUUUUUUAAAUAAAUUGGGGCAUAUCCUCCCUGUAGGAUUAGAAAUUAUAGGAGCUAAGAAUAGGUACAAUGUAAAGAACACUCAGUUUAGUAAUGGAAGAUCUAAGAUUGCAUCCCAGCUCUUACUAUCUAUAGGAACUUGGGCAAGUCACUUAACUCGUCUCAGAUUCAGUUUCCCCAUCUGCAAAAUGGGCAUUAAAAAAGCAGCAUCUCUCUCCAAAGGGUGUUUCGAGGAUCAUGAGAUGACUUGUGUGAAGAGCAUUGAAACCUUAAAGUUUCCUCGAUAUCUGCUAUUAUAAUUAUUCCUUUGGAGUCUCAGUUUUCUUCUCUAUAAAACGAAGAGAAGGAGCUUAGAUGAAUUCUAGAGAUCUCUAGCUCUGACUUCCUAGGUUCUAAGAUGUUUCCUAACUUUCUACGCUUUAUUCCCUGGGACUCAUUUUCCUCAACUGAAAAGUAAAGGGCUUAAAUCACAUGAUCUUCAAGGCUGCUUCCAAUAAAGUCCUAAGACACACACAUUUAUAGCCUUAGUUUCCUUUUUUGUACACUGAGGGAUCACCAUUCUGGUCCCAAAUCUUGUGACCUGGAGGGGAGGGUGGGGAGAGACUACCACAGUGACUGCAGGUCCACCCCCCUGUUCCAACCUCCUCUGAAAUGUUGGCUGUUGCUAAGCUCCCAAGGCCUCUGCCAUUUGUUCCCAUCAUCAAGGGAAACCGAGUUAGAAAAGAUGGUGAUUGUAGCUGCAGAGGCAAGUGUCCCUCUAAGUGGCUCACCCUUCUGUUCUGACAAUGGAAUGAUCCAUGCUGAAGGGAUCCCCAAGUUUGAGCAGAAGGCAAACUUAAGUCUCCUUAACUCCAAGCCCAGCCCCUUCCACUAGGUCCAUUAGAGUGGAUUGUUUCUCACUGGGGCAUCUAUCUAACGAUGGUCCUCGCCAGCACAUCCUCUUUGUUCAAUCCCACCCACCGUUAUGGGCCAAGAGGAUCCGAGUUCCAAAUCUAGCGAUAACAUUUACUGCCAGGGUAACCUCAGAUAAGUCAACCUCCCUGGGCCCAUUUUCUUCACUUGUAUGGUGAGGUAGGUGCAGUAGAUAAUCUCAGGAUGCCUUCUGUUUCUAGAUGGAGAACCCUGGGAUGCCUCUACUUAGCACAGGACAGGACUCGUAUCUGUCCCAGACGAGGCAGCCGAGAUAAUUCCCACAAGUGGAGAUAAGUGAAAGUAACCAGCACUGACCCCAAAGCAGGAAUCAAGAUGAGGAAACUGAGGCAGGAAGUGUCUUGCCCAGGGUCACAAGGCUGGUCUCUAAGGCAGGCUGGGAGUCCCCCACUCUCUGUGUACACCGGUGCCUUGGGAGCGAAGCCCGUCUCUACUUCUCCCUCCCUCCUUUGAGAAAUCUUCCCCGACGGGGUCGGCUUCCCCGGGCUUGGUAAAGAGCCGGUCCCAACUUUCUCACGAGAACCCGAUGUGAGCCCGGGCUGGGCUCCUCUCGGCCCCGGAGCCCAUGCGGCUUAGGAACUCAGUGUGUGAAAAUUUAUAAAUAGCCCUUUGUUUCCCUCAAUCAAUAUUAUUCUCCUGUUUCCUGUUCCCUGUCCAUGCAGCAGAGAGGUGGGAAGCGUCAUCGCUGACACGCACUGGCUCGGUCUGGGGCGCGGAGCUCGCUGAGCCACAGCCUCCCCCGGUGCCCACGGGGGCCGGGCCCACGGGGGUGGGCACCCGCGGCUCCCCCCACCCUGCUUCCCCUCUCCGGCCCUUCUUCCAGGGCAGGGCUGGCUGGCGGGGCCUCUGCCUCUCCUCCCCCACCUUAGUUCAGAUAAGUCACAGGAAAGUGGAAUGGACCGUUAACUACUUCCCCUUACGCCUCCUUGCCAAUUGGCACGGGUUCCGUGUGUGUCUAUGCCGAGAUCGGGCUGGGAAAGCAGGAUGUUUCGGGGGAGCGGAGAUCUCAGCUAGCGAAGGGCAGCCCGGCAAGGAACCGGAAAACUCUGCCCUUCUCAACAGUCAUAAAAUUAGCCCGCUCCGACAAAAGCACUGGGAAAAGGUCGCUUUGGAAACCGGGGUCUACAGAUGCCGGGUCUGACUCUGCGGGAGCCGGAUUCAAACCCUGCUCUGGCACGUUAGUGAGGGGCCUAAGCUUCCUUGGGCUCAGUUUCCUCGUUUGUAAAAUGGCUAAAUGGAGAUGAGCACUGGGUUCCUUGUGGCUCUAGUUACAAUCGGACAGUCAACAGAAGGAGACAAGGGAAGAGGGCAGUUGUCCAGAGAGUGAAAGGGUGUGUGUGUGUGAGUAUGUGUGUGUGAGAGUGUGAGUGUGUGAGUGUGAGUGUGAGUGUGAGUGUGUAUGUGUGUGUAUAUAUGUGUGAGUGUGUGUGUAAGGAAGGGAGGAAUCAUAAACAGAGUUCUAAAACAAGAUUCAGGGUGGACUUCUCAGCUUUUCAGGACAAGACGUCCUGCACAAUGAAGCAGGGAGCGUUUCCGCUGUGCUGCCUGGCCCUGUUAUUAGAAUGGAAGCUCCUGGAGGGCAGGAGUGGCUUCCUUUUUUGCUUCCCUACGUGGUCAAUGUUUGUUAAUCUGACAUCCACGUCUUCCUCUGUUAAAGGAUGAUAUUAGGUCGGCCCGGGGGAAAGAGCGUUGAACACAAAUAACAACAGCGACAAUGGCUCAUAUAUAGUGCUUACUCUGAGCCAGGCACUGCGCCGAGCACUUUAGAAAUAUCUCAUUUGCCUCACGAUAAUUCUAGGAGGUAGGGACUAUUACUAUCCACCCCUCACUUUUUUUUUUUUUUUUUUUGGCUGAGGCAAUUGGGGUUAAGUGACUUACCCAGGGUCACACAGCUAGGAAGUAUCAAGUGUCUGAGGCUGGAUUUGAACUCAAGUCUACUGAGCCCUACUAUCCCCAUUUUACAGGUGAGGAAACUGAGGCAGUAAAAUGUGAAAUGACUUGUCCAGAGUCACACAGUCAGUGCCUGAAGCUGGAUUUGAACAUGCUACCCACCGCCCCACCUAACCAGUCCCUUUACGCAUCUAGAUCUCAGUUUUCCUCUCUCAAAAAUGAGGUUGAACUAGAUGGGUUUUCAGAUCACUCCCCGUUAGAAAUCUACGGUCCUACAAAGUGAUCCUUAAAGUGAGAUGGUUUGCUAAGUCUUGAAUGCCUUCUCCUGAAUCCACAAUGAGAGCUUCAGGGGGCACCUGACUAUUUUCCCUGCCGGACUGGGGACUGCUGGGUACAGAGGGCAGUGGCCAAUGGUGUCUCUCCCCUCCCUCCCCUUCUUGUCGCCUUUGGCUCCAAGACUAAUG